rnacentral:rRNA from 4 species
UGCAUGGAGCCGACCUUGAAAUACCACCCUUUAAUGUUUGAUGUUCUAACGUGGACCCGUAAUCCGGGUUGCGGACAGUGUCUGGUGGGUAGUUUGACUGGGGCGGUCUCCUCCUAAAGAGUAACGGAGGAGCACGAAGGUUGGCUAAUCCUGGUCGGACAUCAGGAGGUUAGUGCAAUGGCAUAAGCCAGCUUGACUGCGAGCGUGACGGCGCGAGCAGGUGCGAAAGCAGGUCAUAGUGAUCCGGUGGUUCUGAAUGGAAGGGCCAUCGCUCAACGGAUAAAAGGUACUCCGGGGAUAACAGGCUGAUACCGCCCAAGAGUUCAUAUCGACGGCGGUGUUUGGCACCUCGAUGUCGGCUCAUCACAUCCUGGGGCUGAAGUAGGUCCCAAGGGUAUGGCUGUUCGCCAUUUAAAGUGGUACGCGAGCUGGGUUUAGAACGUCGUGAGACAGUUCGGUCCCUAUCUGCCGUGGGCGCUGGAGAACUGAGGGGGGCUGCUCCUAGUACGAGAGGACCGGAGUGGACGCAUCACUGGUGUUCGGGUUGUCAUGCCAAUGGCACUGCCCGGUAGCUAAAUGCGGAAGAGAUAAGUGCUGAAAGCAUCUAAGCACGAAACUUGCCCCGA